AGUGAACGCUGGCGGUAGGCCUAACACAUGCAAGUCGAACGGCAGCACAGUAAGAGCUUGCUCUUACGGGUGGCGAGUGGCGGACGGGUGAGGAAUACAUCGGAAUCUACUUUUUCGUGGGGGAUAACGUAGGGAAACUUACGCUAAUACCGCAUACGACCUACGGGUGAAAGCAGGGGAUCUUCGGACCUUGCGCGAUUGAAUGAGCCGAUGUCGGAUUAGCUAGUUGGCGGGGUAAAGGCCCACCAAGGCGACGAUCCGUAGCUGGUCUGAGAGGAUGAUCGGCCACACUGGAACUGAGACACGGUCCAGACUCCUACGGGAGGCAGCAGUAGGGAAUAUUGGACAAUGGGCGCAAGCCUGAUCCAGCCAUACCGCGUGAGUGAAGAAGGCCUUCGGGUUGUAAAGCCCUUUUGUUGGGAAAGAAAAGCAGCAGGUUAAUACCCCGCUGUUCUGACGGUACCCAAAGAAUAAGCACCGGCUAACUUCGUG
rnacentral:rRNA from 1 species